UGAAGGGGAGGUGGGAAGCACAGUAUC
rnacentral:piRNA from 1 species